GCCGGCGUAGCUCAGGGGUAGAGCAAGUGUUUUGUAAACACUCGGUCGGGGGUUCAAAUCCCUCCGCCGGCU
rnacentral:tRNA from 1 species